GACGAACGCUGGCGGCGUGCCUAAUACAUGCAAGUAGGACGCAGUUGCGAACGGGUGAGUAACGCGUAGGUAACUACCUAUUAGAGGGGGAUAACUAUUGGAAACGAUAGCUAAUACCGCAUACUAGUAGAUGGAACUGCGUUGUAUUAGCUAGUAGGUAGGGUAAUGGCCUACCUAGGCAACGAUACAUAGCCGACCUGGGAAGGAGGUCGGCCACAAUGGGACUGAGUCAAGGCCCAGGCUCCUACGGGAGGCAGCAGGAGGGAAACUUCGGCAAUGGGGGGAAACCUGACCGAGCAACGCCGCGUGAGUGAAGAAGGUUUUCGGAUCGUAAAGCUCUGUUGUUAAGGAAGCGGUACUUAACCAGAAAGGGACGGCUAACUCCGUGCCAGCAGCCGCGGUAAUUC
rnacentral:rRNA from 1 species